GACAGGGAGACAGGUGGUGCAUGGUUGUCGUCAGCUCGUGUCGUGAGAUGUUGGGUUAAGUCCCGCAACGAGCGCAACCCCUACGUUUAGUUGCUAACGCGUGAAGGCGAGCACUCUAGACGAACUGCCGUUGACAAAACGGAGGAAGGUGGGAUGACGUCAAAUCAUCAUGCCCCUUAUGUUCUGGGCUACACACGUGCUACAAUGGCCGGUACAGACGGACGCAAAGCCGCGAGGUGGAGCAAAUCCUAAAAAGCCGGUCUCAGUUCGGAUUGCAGGCUGCAAUUCGCCUGCAUGAAGUCGGAAUCGCUAGUAAUCGCAGGUCAGCAUACUGCGGUGAAUACGUUCCCGGGCCUU
rnacentral:rRNA from 1 species